CCUACGGGAGGCUGCAGUCGAGAAUCAUUCACAAUGGGGGAAACCCUGAUGGUGCGACGCCGCGUGGGGGAAUGAAGGUCUUCGGAUUGUAAACCCCUGUCAUGUGGGAGCAAAUUAAAAAGAUAGUACCACAAGAGGAAGAGACGGCUAACUCUGUGCCAGCAGCCGCGGUAAUACAGAGGUCUCAAGCGUUGUUCGGAACCACUGGGCGUAAAGGGUGCUUAGGCUGUUUCGUAAGUCGUGUGUGAAAGGCGCGGGCUCAACCCGCGGACGGCACAUGAUACUGCGAGACUAGAGUAAUGGAGGGGGAACCGGAAUUCUCGGUGUAGCAGUGAAAUGCGUAGAUAUCGAGAGGAACACUCGUGGCGAAGGCGGGUUCCUGGACAUUAACUGACGCUGAGGCACGAAGGCCAGGGGAGCGAAAGGGAUUAGAUACCCCUGUAGUC
rnacentral:rRNA from 1 species